AACGCGAAGAACCUUACCUGGGCUCGAACGGCUUAAGACAAUCUUUGGAAACAGAGACUUCUCGCAAGAGACUUGAGUCGAGGUGCUGCAUGGCUGUCGUCAGCUCGUGUCGUGAGAUGUUGGGUUAAGUCCCGCAACGAGCGCAACCCUUGUCCUGUGUUGCCACUCCGUAAGGAAGCACUCUCAGGAGACCGCCAGCGAUAAGCUGGAGGAAGGUGGGGAUGAUGUCAAGUCAUCAUGGCCUUUAUGUCCAGGGCUACACACGUGCUACAAUGGGCGGUACAAAGCGCUGCAAACCCGCGAGGGGGAGCCAAUCGCAAAAAACCGUUCUCAGUUCGGAUCGCAGGCUGCAACUCGCCUGCGUGAAGCUGGAAUCGCUAGUAAUGGCGUAUCAGAAUGAUGCCGUGAAUACGUUCCCGGGCCUUGUACACACCGCGCAUA
rnacentral:rRNA from 1 species